rnacentral:rRNA from 1 species
CAUCUUGUAUUUAAUAUGAUGUCUGGCCUGCCCACUGAUUGAAAUAAAGGGCCGCGGUAUUUUGACCGUGCAAAGGUAGCAUAAUCAUUAGACUUUUGAUUUGAGUCUUGAAUGAAUGGUUUGACGUAACACUUACUGUUUCGGUUUGAAAUAUUGAAUUUGACUUUUAAGUUAAAAGGCUUAAAUGAGGAUAGGGGACGAUAAGACCCUAUAGAACUUUACAUUGUAUUUUUAUUUUAAUUUGGAUUUUGACAUUGAUUUACUAUUAAUAAUGUUUUACUGGGGUGGUAUUUAGAUAAAUGUAACUCUUUUUCUUUAUAACGUUAAUUGUUGGGUAUUUGAUUCACUUUUGUGAUUUAAGAUUAAGUUACCUUAGGGAUAACAGCGUAAUUCAUUUGGAGAGUUCAUAUUGAUAAAUGGGUUUGCGACCUCGAUGUUGAAUUAAGGUUCCUAAUUGAUGCAGUAGUUUAUUAAGGAAGUCUGUUC